GAUGAAGAACGUAGCGAAAUGCGAUAAGUAAUGUGAAUUGCAGAAUUCAGUGAAUCAUCGAAUCUUUGAACGCACAUUGCGCCCGCUAGUAUUCUGGCGGGCAUGCCUGUUCGAGCGUCAUUUCAACAAUCAAGCCCUGCUUGUGUUGGGGUCCUGCGGCUGCCCGCAGGCCCUGAAAACCAGUGGCGGGCUCGCUAGUCACACCGAGCGCAGUAGCACAUCUCGCUCAGGGCGUGCGGCGGGUUCUUGCCGUAAAACACCCCCUUUUUACCAAGGUUGACCUCGGAUCAGGUAGGAAUACCCGCUGAACUUAAGCAUAUCAAUAAGCGGAGGA
rnacentral:misc_RNA from 1 species